rnacentral:lncRNA from 1 species
AAAAAUCUUUAUUUAUCUUUGAUAACACACGAAGAUGAGCGAUACUUUUUUCAUCCAUUCCGCAUUUUUAAAGGAAUUUAUUCCAUUUUAUGUCACUUCCGUGCUUCCUUACGAGCUGCCGCGCUGCAUCUGCGUCAAUGUCGCAUCAACUUCCUGAUUAUUAUUAAUGUUGACGUCGCCUCCCGUGGAAACAGCCCAUUGAUGACUUGAACGCGCUCACGUGACCCCAGGUGGAGUUAAAGUGGGCGGGGCAUUCAUUAUACACAGGUGUCGCCCCCGAGCCCCCCCUGGACGGUGAAAGUGAGGGUGCCGCGCUGUGAUUGGCUGAAGGCAUAAUGACAUAAUAGCCGUGACUUCAGUGGUCAAGUGGUCUGUUGGAGCGCGCGCAGAUGAAAACAAUCCUCAUUUCAUCUUUUUCUUGCGUGACAGUUCAUGUAAAUGACGACGUGGCGUCUGAAUGUAGCCUGUAAUUUACCCCCCCCCCCCCACACACACACACACACCACACACACACAAACCACACACACACACCACACACACACACAACUACAGCUCUCCGUUUGGAAGACGACUGCUGCUCUCUGCAGUUUAAAGGCGUCCACACACGCUCUUCUUCUUCUUCUGUGGUGGAGACACACGGCUCAGAGAAUCGUGGAGAAUCGUCUCCGUACUCACACGCCGUGUUGCCGCUGUCACCGCAACUGUUGCCGCGUCCGCAUGUUCCCGCCUCUGCUGGGCUCCUGGCAGGCGGCCUGA